GGACCUAUGGCGCAGUGGUAGCGUAUCUGAUUCCAGUGAGUCUCGCUUGAAUCUCCAGAUGGUCAUCCGUUCGAAUCGGGUUAGGUUCA
rnacentral:tRNA from 1 species